GGUAUAGCUCAGUGGUAGAGCACUUGCCUCACAUGCUUAAGGCCCUGGGUUUGAUCCCCAGAACCA
rnacentral:tRNA from 1 species